rnacentral:misc_RNA from 1 species
AACGCACAUUGCGCCCCUUGGUAUUCCGGGGGGCAUGCCUGUUCGAGCGUCAUUACACCACUCAAGCCUCGCUUGGUAUUGGAGGACGCGGUCCGCCGCGCCUCUCAAAUCGACCGGCUGAGUUCACCGUCUCUUAGCGUUGUGGAAUUUCUAUUCGCUUGCGAGAACUGGUGGCGCUCACGCCGUUAAACACCUUCUUUCUAGGUUGACCUCGGAUCAGGUAGGGAUACCCGCUGAACUUAA